CACUCUAAAAACGGCUGGGUUAUUUUUUAACCCAAAAUGUUGGGUUGAGUAUGUUGGGUCAUUUUGUUGGGUUAUUUUAUUUCUUUUUAAACACUUUUGGGUAGUUUCAAUUUACCAGGUGUUGGGUUAAACCUGCUGGGUUGCGUCGCUGGGUUGUUUCAGGCCAGCGCUGGGUUAUUUAACGCGCCUUGAAGAUGUUUAAAUCGCUCCCCAACUGUCACUUUGGAAGAACAACGGGGCAAAGCCACGGCUUUCAACUGUUUUAAGGUAAGUUUAUUUAAUUUUUUCUUUAAUAAUUAUUUUAAAUUGGCAGAAUUAUAACUUUUUUUGCGCAAACAAUACUGUUAAACGUCUAACAGUUACAGGCCAACAUUAUUUACGUUAAAUGAUGAACUGUUCACCUCAAACGGCCAACCUACGUUACGUGACUCGAAUAAUCAUGUUAAGAUAUCUGAGACGACAUAUUAAUACAGUUUUUAUUAAGUUUCAGACAGUGACGGAUGGCUGAAAUAUGCGAAUAACUGUGAAAAUAGAGGAAAAAGUAGUUUCUGACACUGGAAAGCGAAUUUGACAUUUAAGUGAGUCAAAUGAGUUCAAAAAGUGAAUACGACAUUCUGCUCUAAUGUAAACGCAUGCAGUUGUCCAUAUCGACAUGUAAAUCAUACAAAUUACGUGCAAUAUAGUCGGACCGCAGGUCUAAGAGAACCGACGAUCCAGUUCAAAUAAACCGGUUCAGUCUAACAAAGUGAUUCCCGGAAAAUAAUCGACGUCUCAGGGCAUUUCAAAGUGCGCGGAUGCACAGCGAGUGUGGUAGGCCGCGUUAGUGAGGUGAUUUUAUGCUUUUGUGGUUUAUAAAGUCUUUUUACAUACAAGUUAUAACUCAAAAUGUUGUUUUUUCCUGUCAGAAAAGCACAUGGAUACAUUUGUGAGAGAAAAACUCGUCGAGUGCAGCCUUAUUGAGGCGUCUAACGGUUGGAACAAACAUGGAAUUCCUUAACCGAGCAGAGUCCACAAAACCCCAUACAAUUGUUGUGGCGAUUUAAAAAUGCCAGCAGAUCUCUCAGGCAUUGAUCAUAAUCAAUGGACAGGUCACCGUAGCCACCAGAUCCAGUAUGUAUCCAGAUCAGAUGGUGGAUCAGCACCUAGAAAGGACCUCUACUGCCCUGAAAGACAGUGGAGACCAGGACAACUAAAGCCCCAGAUACAGAUCCUCUGUAAAGACUCAGAGGACCACCAGGACAAGACCACAGGAAACAGAUGAUUCUUCUGCACAAUCUGACUUUGCUGCAGCCUGGAAUUGAACGACUGGUUUCGUCUGGUCAGAGGAGAACUGGCCCCCCAACUGAGCCUGGUUUCUUCCAAGGUUUUUUCUCCAUUCUGUCACCGAUGGAGUUUCGGUUCCUUGGUUUUCCUAAGUUGGGGACCAUUAAGAUCAAGCGAUAUCAUCGACUUGAUCGCACAGAGGGACGAUACAUCACUGAAUCAAUGAUGAACUGACUUUAACUGAAAACUGAGUGUUUACUGUUAUCCCUUCACAUUAUUACACAC